UAAAAAUAAAGUCAUUCUAUUCGUCAAUCUUGAUGAUUAAUUGUCAUAACUAUAAGAAAAAAAAAAGAAAAUUUUUUUCUUUUGUAUGUUUUGAAGUUUAACAAAUUAUGUGCAACACAUGCAAUCAAAACGACUGUAUAAUUCGUUAAUUUGAUUGAGAAGACAGGCUAAUUUAGCUUUUUGAUAAAGUUUAGUGAAUUACCAAUAAAUUUUAUGAGAUCUCCUUUUUUUAUUGACGAAAAUAACUUAAUUCUAGUAAAAAUUAACUAGAAAUGGAGAGAGCCUGAAUAAAGAAACUUAGGUUGAGGAGUCUAUUUGAAAAUGACUUAAUUAGGGAUCUCUUUACAUAUUUACCAAAUUAUUUUAUUUUAGCUGUCAAUUUGCCAUGUUUACGAUAGUUACUAUAUAUAAUGCCUAAAAAUGGAUAUAAAUUUUACAUUCUGAUUAUUCAAGUGUCGAUAUUCUCUGAUUAGUCUUAGAUUUUGUUUGGGAUUGCGGGAAGAUUACAUUACUUACGGUGAUAAAGUACGAUGGGAUAAUAAUCUGUUUACUUUCGUACGUAAUAUUGUGUUGCGCAUAUCGCGAUGAGUCGAUAACGAUAUAUUUUCUGCAUUCCCACCGGAGAAUGUAGAAACAUAUCCCUAUAUACUUUUAUCCAAACUCCAUUUUAUCUAAUAGCGUAAGAUAAACUUCAAUACCAAACUAAGCUUUAUUAAUUUGUUAUUACUAUAAAAUAUAUAUAUCUAAAAAGAGUUUUUUUAUGGUAAAAGUCCAUAGGCAUUCCAUUAAAAUAGAACUUGGAUUUUGUUAGCAACCCAAUACAAAGGGAGAAAAAGAAACCCAAAGUAAUAGAGCAAAAGAUGUUGUUGGCAUUUCCCAAACCUAAAAAAAAAAAAGGGAUAAUUGUCUAUAUACUCCUCAUACGUUUAAAAAUAUUCGAUUUAUCCUUAUUUUUUUUUCUUUUUAAAAUAUUCCUCAUAUGUAGACCUGGCAAACGGACGGGUUGGGUAACCUGCGGACGGGUCAUUGUACCUGCGGGUUACUUGGGCAUGGGUAAAAUUUACCAGCAAAUUUUUUGGUAGCCAACAUCUUUACCCAUACCUGUCCACGGGUGGGCGGGUGGGUAUGCGGGUUACCCGCAAUUUUUUUUCUUUUUUUCUCUUAUAUUUUUUAAAUGCAAAUACAUAUAUAUAUAUAUAUAUAUAUAUAAGUUUUAAAAAUAUAACAUAAUUCAUUAUUUAAAAUAUCAUAACAUACAAUAAAAAUAUUUGAAGUCUUAGAACAAAAACCUUUCGUAAUAUAAAAGACGCGAUAAGAAAUUAGGGUUAGAAUUUUUAGUAUGGAUAAAUAAAAAUAUAUGUAUUCUAAUUAAAAAUAUAUUUUUUUUUAAUUAAAAAAAUAUAUGUGCGGGUAUCCGUGGGUACCCGCGGAUUACUCAAAAUGCCCACAGCUUAAUGGGUACCCACCCGUUUUACCCGUAAUUUUUUGGGUUUGAAAAAUUGUUACCCAUACCCGCAAAUUUGUGGGCACCCGCGGGUAUGGGUCGAGAUUGCCAUGUCUACUCAUAUGUUCCACCGUUAUUACAAAAUAUCCUCGCAGUUAUCUCCUGUUAAGUUAAGUUGAGUUAAACGUGAGUUAAAUAUCUACAACAGUUAAAAAAAAUUAAAAUGCCAAUUUUGCCCUUAACUUAAGGGCAAAUAAGAAAUAUUGGUGACGGUAAAGGAGUAUAUUGGAAAAGACCUAAAGUCAAAAUACUUUUUGUGCCCCUGACUUUAAGGGCAAAUAAGAAAGUCAGUAAUGGUGGAAGGGUAUAUUUGAGAGGGCAAAAUAGUAAUUUUAUAAAGAUAACAGAGUUAAUUAACAAAUUUUAACUCUAGAAGUAUAUUAGAAAUAGAUUGGAACGUAGAAAGCGUAUUUUCAAUAUAUUAGCCUUCUAAGAAGGAUAAAUUGAAAAAUUAAGAACUUUUCAGGAAUACAUAAAUUAUUGCCCCAAAAGAAAAAGACAAAGGAAAAGCAUGUGCAUCAGUUCCGUGACUUAAACAUGCAAUCAAACAAUCAAUGCUCGCACGAGAAAUAAAGAGAAAUAUAAAUAAAACAUAGAACGAAAAUAGUCAGGUCCCAACCAAACUCCCAACCCUCAAUCCGCUCCUCGACCACUGUCUCUUCCAACUCCGCCGACCGGUAGGUGGUAACUGACCAAAGUAGGAAAAUCGACAGAAGGCUUGAGUGGAUGAAGAGGGUGAAACAAGAAGAGCUAGAGAUUAAAACCGGUGAUUGCGGGAAAAAAAAGUUUAGAAGAGCAAAUUAAAACAUAAUGACUGGAUAUAAUAAUAGAAGGAAGAAAUGAGAUUUCCACACUGUUAACCAAAUUUUAGUCGAAAAUGCGGCCAAAAUCUUGCCUAAAAUCCGAAAGCAUACUAUGCAAUCCGGAAGACUUUCCAAUAAGCUAAAAGAGAUUUCUAAACUCUAUUUUUAAGCGGAUAUACGAUUUACAUUAUUUUUUAUUGCAUAAGUAAAUUUUUUCUAUCUCAAAGAGUCCCAUAUUUUUUUCCCUGAUUUGUGUUUUGUUUUUUUUUUUUUUGUACUUUUGGUGCUCCAUAAAGUUUGGAUGGAAUUUAAAAAAAAAAAAAGAAAUAUCUACAUGCUAUAUUGGAGACAAAAAAGAAUCCCCACUACUACCUCCAAUAUUGCCGACUGUCAUGGAGAUAUUUUUUCUUCCCAUCUAACAGAUAUUUUUGUAAGCUUUGUGUGUCCGUAUUAGACACAUGUAUGUCUGUGUCAGACUGGAGUCCUAUACGGACAUGCUUUGGACCCACAUUCUAUGCGAAUUCAUAGUGCUAAAUUUAAACAAUUAAAAUAAAUGUCUAUUUUUAUUUUAUUUGUUAUUAUACAGAAAUAAUGUAAGAUGAUAAAUAUUUCAUCUUUUUUAUGAAUGCAUAUAAAUUUUUUUAAACAAUAUAAAUAAGCUAUAUAUGGUAGAAAAAAAUUUCAGAAAAUAUAUGAACUAUCAAUAAAAAUUUUAGUAACUUUCAUUCGUAUAAAAAAUAUAACAAUAUUUUAGUAAAACUAAUAUUUUAUAUAUAUAUAUAAUAAAUAUGAGUUGAGCUGGAAUACUAUUAAUAGUAAAAGAUUCUUUUUGUUAUCAAGUUUUUAAUCAUUGGAUGAGAAAUUAUAAGGCUAGGAUGAUAUUAGUUCCUUAGGAUUGAAUAGUGCUCCUAGGGUUGAGUGAUCUCUCCACUGUGGUCCUCCUAGGGUUAAGUGGUCUCCACUGAGUUGUAAUAUUUAAUAUAAUAGUUAGAAAUGAUGAAAUAAAUUGAUGUAAAGGUUAAAAAUUUAAUAGCAAAAAAAAUCUUUUGCAAUCAAUAAUAUUCUAAUCCAACUCUAAUAAAUAUAUAUAUUAAUAUUUGUUAGUAGCUGAAUUCCCCGAACCUUGAUCCGGUCAAAGAUCCUCAUCGAGAAGCGUGUAGGGAUGAAAAACGGUUUUGGAUAGUGACCCUCGAAGUUUGCGCCCUUCGACUGGAUCAAACGAUUUGGCUGAUGAGCAAUCGGAUCAGCCGAGUUUGAAAAUUUUUACUGUAGAAUCGGUUCGGUUAGAUGAGCCGAAUUGAUAAAGUGCACAAAGACUUGGAUUGGCUGAAGGAGCCGAAUAGACGGAAUACACAGUGACUGGUCGGCUGAAAGAGCCGAAUGCCUUUAUAUAUUAAUAAAAUAGAGUGUUCCUGAAGGGCAUACAGACUCUGAAAAUUUAGACUACAACAGAGUGUGCCCAUGGAGCAUACAGACUCCAGAAAUCUAACUUAAAAACUACUCCUAAGAAAGCAGUAAAUGCGGGUAAAAAAGAUUACAUGUAGACUACUCCUAAAAAGCGAUAAAUGCAGGAAAGGAAAGUAUUGAAAAUGCGGUGGUGUUCUCGGUCAAGGGAGAGAAAGAACUUUAUUACAGGCUUCAAAGUUACUAUUUAUAAUAUCUUAUCAGCCCACAUUAUUGAUUAGUUUUAUUAGUGGGGGAAGUAGUGUAGCCAUGAUCAUGAAAGUUACGCCCCACUUCUCAACCGUUCCUGUCUAAACGCUCUUGACCUUUAGACGCUUUAUUGCCGACUCCUGAUGUAUCACGUGUCCUUAUUUCUUUAGAUCGGCGUGUUAAUUUUAAUUUUGACAUCAAUAAUAUUAUAUUUUAUUAAAAAUAUCUAAGCCACGUUCUUGUCUUAAAUAUUUGGAUGUGCAUGUACGAAUCGUGUCGUAUUCUUCUGUUUUCGUGUCACGCCUAACAAAAGGACGCCCACUAUCCAAACUUUAGAAUGCUCUGUAUUCACUCAAAAUAGCGGCAGCAAGCUUAACUCAAAAUAUCUCAAAAUAUCUCUCUGCGAACUUGUGCAGAUAACAAGUAAAUACGAUAGCGAUGCAUGUGUUUAUUUUGGCUUAAUUAUACUUCAUUAUAAUACAUUUUUAUAUUGUUUUUAUUUUUGUACUGAACUUUUUUAAAGUGCCAAUAAAAUUAUCAAUUCUUUUAUCAAUUUUUGUAUACUUAGAAAUUAUUUUAAUUUGUUAUAUUGUAUUACAUUUUUUGAAGGAAAUUGUUAAACUUUCAUUUCUCGUUACUCUCUACACUAUUGUCAAUAAAUUUACUUGUUUAAACAGAUAUUAAUAUUUCUAUUAAAGAUCACUAAGUAGAUGGUAGGAAAACAUAAAAAUGAGCCUCUAUGCUAGAUUCAUUGAAAGCUUAUAUUGAGUUAUCUUCAAAUACCUUUUUUUCUACUUUUAGAUGCUUUUUGUAUUAUCUUUGUCAAAAUGAGCCAAAUAUAUACUAUGCUACAUCAAUCAAUAUUUUUUAAUGGAUAUUCUAACUUCUAUCUAAAAUUUUAGAUUUUGUUUUUCUAUCUUUGACAAAAAGCAAUAGUUUAGUACUGUAUUAAAAGAAAGAACAAUAAAAUAAAUAAAAAAAAAACACUAGACAUUACAACAAAGUUCAUGUAUUAAGCCUUUUUUUUUGUUUAAAUACUCUAACCAUUGUUGUUGUAUAUUGAAUUUAGCAAAUUGCUAAGAUCUAGUAUAAGAUAGCUUUUAACGCAAUUCGUGAGGUUCUAAGAGAGUUUGGGUUGUGUUGAAGGUGUUCUAGCGUGAGAACAAAAUUUCAAAACGAAAACCGCAAACUAAUAGCUAAGUUGCACAUAUCGAUGCUGAAAAUUCUCAAUAGAAAUCCCAAGUAGAGGAAUGUUCCAAUCUGCGCAACCUCCGAGAAGUAUCGGUACUAAGUGCUGUGUACCAAAACCCGAAAUAUGGUACCGAAACUUCUUGAGCUAAAUUGCUAUGGGAACUCUCAGGUUCUAUAGAACUUCAUAGCUAGAGGUACAAGUACGAGAGGUGGAGUACUGGUACUAAACUUGGGGUAUCGGAACUCCUCGAGGCACAAAAGGUCUUCGUCGAGAAAAAGGUCCAUGGCUCUGAGGACGAGGUCAUAGAUACUUCGGUGGCCUACUGGAACUAGACUGCUCACAUGAACUUUCUAUUGGGUGCUUCUUUUCCUUUCCUUUCUACAAUGCCUUUCUUUCCCUUCUCAUCGACACUGCGCCCUUCUCAACCGAGAGUGCUGUUUCUACCUCUUCUCCAGUGUCUGCAAAUGUUGGGGUUGCACAAACUAGUAUGUAUCACGUCACAACCAUCGCUCAAAACAAUAAGCAUUGUGCCUUUCAUCUCGCAGUGCAAGAGAAUGCAGUUGAGGAUGCCGGUGAACUACUACUCGUACUCCUUCACGGUGUGAUCCCCCUGCCGCAACUUUCUGAAGUCAUCAUCCAAUUUCUCCUUCACAUUUUCUAAGGGAUACACACUGAAAAGCAUUCCCCUGAACUCUCCCCACAUCAAAGGAGAUGUACUCUCCAAUCGACUCGCUAGAGCCCUUUUCCACCACUGAUGGGCUUCACUCUCUAGACAAUGCACCACGUCUCGCUCGGCAUUGUAUAAAUCCUCUAAGUUUGUCCAUCGAAUCAACCCAAGCUGCUACUAUUCAGGGAUUUGUAUUCUGUCUAUUGAAAUUUGGCUAGUCAAACUUUCAAAAAUUUGCAAGACUUGCUCGAGCACGCUCCUACUCUACCUCAGAUGUACUCUGACUGGCAACUGACGUAUCCAGGUAGUCGUAGGAGUAGCAGCAUCACUACCUAUUGACGUAGAAUGAGUAAUUAUCCGUGUCGCAGCCAAUGCAGCUCCCAUGUGGGCAUUCGAUGUUCCUAAGUUCCCUAUGCCACUCUUGCCUGGUGGAAUAUCAAAUCAUGCAACCUCUUAAUUUGUUCCUCAUGGCACUAGGAAACCUCAAACCUGUCUCCCAACUGCUCCUACUAGAGCAGUAGAUCUAGUCUGACCAUGCUCUUUAGGCUACACCAGAGUUACUCUAGUUUGAGGUCAUGCACGUCACACCGUCACUUGGAACUCAACAAUAUUAGUUGCUUGGCCACCAAGCUCAAACCAAUAUAAAGUACAAAUCCGACCUGUAAAGCACUGAACUUUUGCUAAUAGCAUAUUUAUUUGUUAAGGUCCAAUAAAUCACAAUACUAUUGAAAAGCACUCUCCGGAACUCCUUCCACAUCAAAGGGAAUGCACUCUUUGAUCGAAUCGCCCAGGUCCUUUCCACCAGUGAUGGGCUUCACCCUUUAGACAAUAUGCCACUAGAUAUACUUUGUCCUGCUUGGUAAUGUAUAAAUCUCAAACAGUUUCUCCAUCGCAUCAACCCAAGCUUCUACUACCUAGGGAUCUGUGUUCUGUUUAUUAAACUAUAGCGGGUCAAACUUCUGAAAAUUUGCAAGGCUUGUCCAAGCAUACUCCUGCUCUGCUGCAGAUGUGCCAUGGUCGAUAGCUCACGUGUCCCACGUAGUCAUAGGAGUAGCAACGACAAUACCUGUCAGUGUAGAAAAAGUAGUAACCUAUGUCGCAGCCACUAUAGCUCUCAUAUAGGCAUUCUGUGCAGUCCGUGGAGGUGGGUUCUGUCCCUGAGUUCCCUAUGCCACGCUUGCUUGGUGCAACGUCAUAUCAUGCAGCCUCUUGAUUUGUUCCUCCUAGCAUUGGGAAGCCCUAGCUUGUCUCCCAACCACUCCCACUAGAGCAACCAUCUGAUCACAAAUCUCCUAUAGUUCGCUAGAUCUAAUUUGACCAUGCUCUUCAGGCUGCGUUGGAGUGGUUCUCGUGGAGCUCGUGCAUGUCACGCUAUUUUGUCAUCUAGAACAUGACAACAUUAGUUACUCUGCUCGACCCAAUCAAGCAAAAGUCUUGAACAUCUCUUUUCUACCUCUAACAUUAUGUUAGCUGCAGCCAACAUAAUUAUUAAGACGGAAAAGACAUGACACUUUCAAUCAAUCUUCAAUACAUAAUUAAAGAUAGUAUGCAACCCAAUUUAUUUUACUUUCGCCAUAUGUUAGGAUUUGGUUAGAUUUGUAGAUUAAUUAUAGUUGGAUUAGGAUAUUUAAAUCUGUUAGAGAUAAAUUAAGAUUUAAAUAUUAAUUAGAGUAUGAAUCUAACUAGAUUAGAAUAAAUAUUUACAUCUAUUAGAGAUAAACGAAAUAUAGAUUUAAAUAUUUAUUAGAGUAGGAAUCCUAAAUAUACUAGGAUUUGGGUACGUUUUAUUCUAUGCAUUAUAUAAGCACCAUGUGGGGUGCUUUUUGAGAGGGAGUACGGUCAAAAAGUUGGAGCUCUUUGGUGGGUUGUACCAGAGAGAGAGAGUUGGCCGGUUGCAUGCACCUAGUGCACGAGUGCAUGUGAGAGAGAAAGAGAGUUGUCUUUUAGAUUUACAAAAGAUGAGAGAAUGGUAGAAGAGAUUCAAAAAGAUGGCUCGGGUUGUAACUACUCUGUUGCAGAAGAGGAGUCAGGUGUAAUCUUCUCUUAUUUAAUGAAUCUUAUUUUAUCUGCAUAUUUUCUAUUUUGGUUUUUCUCUCUUUUGUGAUUAUAUCAGCUUUUGCUGAGGAGACGGGUUUAUGAUAAAAAUUCGAUUCAACGCUUCCAUUGCGGAAUCCCAACAAUCGGUACCAGAUCCACAGCAGUUAGUAUCGUAGUAGGUUGCGGAUUCACAAGAUCCGGUACCGGGGCGAGUACCGGAUUCCCAACAAUUGGUAUCAGAGCUUAAGGUUACCGAUCCACGGGAGAGAUCGACGGAGAUGGCCACAAAAUUCGAAAUCGAGAAGUUCGAUGGUAAGAACAAUUUCGGAUUGUGGCAGAUUAAAGUACGGGCGAUCCUCGUACAGCAAGAGUUGGACGAGACGUUGAACGAGAAAGAGGCGAAGCCGGCGGAGGUCACGGAUGCGGGAUGAACGAAGAUGGAGCGGAGGGCAUUGAGCACGCUUCAUCUAUUAUUAGGAGAUAAGGUUCUUUACAAUGUAGCCAGCGAGAUGACACCGGCGAAGUUGUGGAAAAAAUUAGAAGAUCUGUACAUCACCAAAUCCUUGACAAAUAGGUUGUAUCGGAAGCAGCGACUGUUUACACUGCGGAUGCAGCAAGCGCGAGCCUACAUGAUUAUCUGAACGAGUUCAACAAGGUGGAGGCCCAAUUGACUAGCAUCGAAGUUAAUCUGGAUGACGAGGAUAAGGCGCUGAUUUUACUAUCUUCGCUACUGGCGACAUAUGAGCAUCUGGUAACCACGUUGCUUUAUGGCAAGGAGAACAUAAGCGUUGAGGCAGUCACGGUCGCGCUUCUCUCGAACAAAAUGCGGAAGAUAACUCAGGAGUUCGGCACGCAGAGUUGGGAUACUGCUUUGGUGGUGAGAGCGAAGAAGGAGGCAACAAUAUCGACGACCAUAGAUCGACAGAAGAAGCCGUUAUCUGAGGUGGAAUGCUUCUACUGUCACAGGAAAGGGCAUAUCAAGCGAAAUUGUCGAAAACUUCAGGUUGAUCUAAAGGAGUUAAAGCGACAGAAGGAGAAAACUGUCGUGAACUAGGACGAGACGGUAUCAACGACGGCUCAGGCGGCAGAGUCCGAGAUGAUCGAUUCUGAUGUGCUGUAUGCAGCAACCAGAGGUGCUAAACUUUUGGAUGACGGGUGGGUGCUCGAUUCGGCAUGUUCCUUUCACGUCUACCCGGAGAAGAAGUCUUUUGCCACCUAUAAAGCGAUCAAGGAUGGAAAAACUCUAAUAAGAAACGGGACGGCGUGCAAAGUUUUGGGAGUCGGCAUGGUGAAAAUCUGAAUGCACGAUGGGGUCGUGAGGACACUGACAGGUGUGCGGCACGUUCCUGGAUUGAAGCGAAAUUUGAUCUCGUUAGGCGCGUUGGUUUCGAAGGGUUGCGAUAUUUCGGUUUCAGGUAGAGCUAUAAGGGUUCGAAAGCGAGAUCGAGUCGUGUGCGAGGCGAACAAGCAUGGGAACUUGUACGUUCUUAACGGGAUCACGGUCAGAAUGGGAGCGAAGAUAGUUUGGGUUCCAAAAGUUCGCAGAGGUGUAGUCGCUAGAGGCGAAGCGACGGAUGCGGCAACAUUGAGCGGAGGAGACAAGCUCAAGGUGGAGCUUGCAUGGUGAGCUCGACGCAGCGGUUGAAAACUACAAAUCCAACCAAGGUGGAGAUUGUUAGGAUUUGGUUAGAUUUGUAGAUUAAUUCUAGUUGGAUUAGGAUUAAUAUUUAAAUCUGUUGGAGAUAAAUUAAGAUUUAAAUAUUAAUUAGAUUAUGAAUCUAACUAGAUUAAAAUAAAUAUUUAAAUCUAUUAGAGAUAAAUGAAAUAUAGAUUUAAAUAUUUAUUAGAGCAGGAAUUCUAAAUAUACUAGGAUUUGGGUACGUUUUAUUGUAAGCAUUAUAUAAGCACCAUGUGGGGUGCUUUUGGAGAGGGAAUAUGGCCAAAAAGUUUAAGCUCUUUGGUGGGUUGUAUCAUAGAGAGAGAGUUCGCCGGUUGCAUGCACUUAGUGCACGGGUGCAUGUGAGGGAGAAAAAGAGUUGUCUUUUAGAUUUAUAAAAGAUGAGAGAAGGGUAGAAGAGAUUCAGAAAGAGAGCUCGGGUUGUAACUACUCUGUUGCAGAAGAGGAGUCAAGUGUAAUCUUCUCUUAUUUAAUGAAUCUUAUUUUAUCCGCAUAUUUUCUGUUUUGGUUUUUCUCUCUUUUGUGAUUAUAUCAACUUUUGCUUAGGAUACGGGUUUAUGGUAAAAAUCAGAUUCAACGCUUUCAUUGCGGAAUCCCAACAAUCGGUACCGUAUCCACAGCAGUUGGUAUCGGAGCAAGUUGCGGAUUCACAAGAUUCGGUACUGGGGCGAGUACCAGAUUCCCAACACUAUAUGUCACGUCACUCAUGUUCUUGCAUUCUUAAGGUUGCUAAAUGACUUAGGUGUACUAAGUCCACCUGUGAAAUUUCUAAACUAUGAUAUCAACUUAAUUUGUCACGGCCUGGAUAACAGCAGAAAGCGCCAGGUAUGCUAAUAGACCCACCUGAUACACGAAUUUAUCCCCGCACGUAUGAAGUGCAACACAACUAACCUACCAAAAUCAUAUGCACACAAUAUAUAUACACAUGAAAAGCAUGUAGUAGAUAUAUCUGAGUCCAAGUACAACUAUGCUACUACAACUAUAACUAUACCAACUACCACUAUACAACCCAAUUAACAAUAAUAUACUUCAUUUGUCUCUCUAUAUACAAUAUCACAGGGUCCCUCCACUAGAAUUUGCUCAGGUUAGAAGAUGUUAUCUAGCUCGCGAUCCCCUUACCACGAUCAACUACCGAUGCUGAGGGCUUUGGAAAAAACCAACAAUAAAAGGGUAUGAGAACUACUUAAAAAUAGUUCCUAGUGAUUACAAUCGAUGACAGCAUCAACUUCUACUACUAGGUCUUCUCAAGACAUCAAGAGUAUAAACUGCAAAUGAAAUAGAUAGCAAACAUAUACAAAAAGUUGUCAAUCACUAUACUGCUAUCAUGCCUUGAUUAUAGGUAAACAUAUGUCAUCAUGCAUCAAUAUGAUAGAGGAUAACAAAUACCAUAUCACCCAAUCCUACCGUCCAACUUAUAAGUCUGGACAAGCCUAUGCCGCGCCUAGUGGAACAUUAAACAAUCGCACAUGAACCACUAAGGCUCCCAACUAAGACAGCUCGAACAAUUGCAUGGCUAUGUGCCUCUACCUCCGGCGAGCCCUCUUGGUAGGGAGCAACCCCACAUAAGUAAACGAAAUGGCUCUUGGAUGUUAUAAUCAUAUCCCUGAUCAACAAGGUCUCAUAAUAUUUUCUUUCACAAUUCAAGCGUCAGUCUUUCCUUUUUAUGCUCCAACAGCCAAAUAUGAUGAUAAUCAACAUGCUAACAUCAAUAUCAUGUCAUGAAAAUAGAGUGAUUUCAGUUAGGAAUAAGAUAAAAUAGACAUAAAGAUUAGUUCACCACUUUCAGCAACAAACACUUACCAAAUCAACUUCCAACUUAUAGUAACCUCUAGUUUCAACUCCCUUGAUCUCCAAACAGCCCUAUACAAAGUAAUUCCAACAUCAAACCUUAGCCAAAUAUCCCUCACAUCAUAAUCAUCCCUAAAUUUAUAACAAGAUUAUAACUAUUAGGAAAAUCACCUAAAAAAUCCUUAUAUAAGCCUCUAAAACCUCAA
rnacentral:lncRNA from 1 species